rnacentral:lncRNA from 1 species
UGAUUUUUAUGUCUUCUGGUUGUCUGCUUUUUGCCAAAAGGAUGCAAUGCCAUGAGCCCACAGCCCCAGUGCACCAGCACAGCAGCAGGGAGAGAGUUUGGUUUGGGGUUUUGCUAAGUGGAAAGGAUGGGGCAGGUUGUUUCAUGGGGUGUUUUAGGGAAGAAAGGAAAGAGAUGAGAAGAGGGGAGAGGAGAAGCAGCCUGCAAACACCCAGGGACACCUCAGCAACGCAGGGCAUGAAGGAAACACCCAGCACACGCCUUCAGCCCAGCCCUGCUGCAGAGACAGGCACAAGCAGCGAGUGGCACUCGGCUGCUGGCCACGGGGACGAGCCCUGGCUCACAGCACCCAAGGGAGCAGCUCGGUGUGAAGCACCUCGCACCCAGCACCUCGCACCCGAGCCAGCAUCACCCUCGCAAUCGGGCUGCCGGAGUCUUUUAAGGCUGACUUUGUAGCAGCCCGCUUUACACGGGAUCAAAUACUGCCUGUGCGUGCCGCACGGUGAGGCGCAGCUCGCCCACGCUGACGCCAAGCUGGGGCUCAGCGGGGAGGGAGCCACACUCGCGCCCAGCCCAGAGCUGCACAAUAUUGAACAAAUCUGCAAGAAUGACAAGGGGAGCAAGAUGCCAUCCCCAGGGGAAGAGGAGGGGCAGCGGCAGAGCUCUGCAAGCUUUCCCAACACGUGUUUGUAAAGAGCACCCAGGGAAGCCAGCAGGGAAGCUCCAGCCCCGAGCCAGCAGCUCCGUCGCGAGGAGCUUCUGUGCUCGCACGCGAAUUUCUCAUGCGAUGGGGCAGCGAUGCCAGCGGCACUGCACCAGGCCCUGCUUGGCCUGCUGGAAAGCAGCAUGAGGAGCAAACGAUCCGCGGAGACAGCCCGGCAUUCGCACCACUCGCUCCAGUAACCGCGAGCUGGAUCCCGCACGUCCCCUCCAGCACCCUGCUGUCUCCCAGGCACGGAGCCCUUUCGGGGCUCAUUGACUUCUUUUUCCUGAUCUCGUCCCGCCUGUGUGCACGAUGAUGCAGCCAUCCCUCUUGCGUAGGGCAUGGAAGAGACAUUCAGGCUUGGGCUAUUAAUUAAAACCCGGUAAUGCUAAUUUUACUGCCAACUUGGAAGGUCCUUCCUGCAUUUUAUUAGGUAAUUGCCACUUGUAAGGGGUUUAAAUUGAUGUCUUUAUUAGGCGGUGCAGUACAGGGUGGCUGUAAUGAUGGCUGAAAUCAUCUCCUGUGAACGUGCAGCCAGACGUCGCUCCAGCCCGGGCCCCUGAGCUGAAUGGGGAAUUGCAGCCACGCCGCAGACACCGAGCCCAGCCACAGACAUCCCAAAACGGACACCUCCCGGCUGCCUGAAUCAGGAUCAAUGGCCUGUACCUACACGGAGAGAAUGGGGAAAAACAAAGGGCAGCAGGGAGUGCCUGCUGAUCCCCCCAAAACCUUGCAUUCCCACCGCCUUUCUGUUUUCUCGCUGUAUGUGUCAGCCAGCGCAGAGAAGCCAGGCACCUGCACUGCUGAGUCAUUCCUAGCCUGAAAAGGAGUUGGUGCACUUUCCAGAAGCCAUUUCCUCCUUCAGGGGUCUGAUUUAUGUCAAUCCACAUCAUUCUAAUAUUGCGUUGUAGGGACAACAUAUUUUUUCCCGGCAAACCCUUACAGGAGUCCCUCGUGACGUGCUCACCACUGAAGCACCCAAGCAGCUUCCAGCCACAACCUAGAUGUGAAGCAGCAUGUUCGGUCUGGUUUUCUCAUCUUCCUGCAUUUAAGCGGGGCUUUGCUUUUACUUCAGUGCCUGACGGAAGGCGGGCACCCAGCUGAUGCUCUGCUAGGACCAUCUCAAGGGCUACAGCAAAGCGAGACGUUCACAGCAUAUCGCUGCCAGGAGAAGCACGAAACCCCACCAGCAACAGCCACAAAGCCCCAAUUUCUGUCCUCCCAGGACCCCAGUUUCCUGCUCCUUUUUUCCCCAGCCCUCUGGCUGUAGCAGGACACAAAGAAAAGCAGCCCCAGGGCGUCCCCGUGCCACCCAGCAGGGGACACACCACGGCCACGGGUGGACACGCGCACGAUGAACACAGGGCAAAGGAGCCAGGCUGGACCCGAGCACGGUGUUUCCCUGGCAGGAAGGGGACCCCCACGUCGGCAGCACCCAGCUCCUCCAAAAUGAGCAGUGCUGGGAGCUCCAGCAUCAAAGCACAGCCAGCUCGGCGCUCCUCAGCCCCGCGUCCUCCUCGCCUCCCCGUGCCCCUGAGAGGAGUCUCUCCCAUCUGAUCUCUCCAUGUGCUGACUUCCUUUGGCACCCUCUCACCCACCCUUUCUUUCUCUGCUUCCCCAUUUCUUUGUUCCCUCACCUGUGCUUCCCUUCACAAAGAUUAAAGCAAAGGAUUUUUUUUUUUUUUUCCUUCUCCUCCUGUGCCAGAGCACUGGCAGACUGGAAUCACCGGCCUGUGCUCUUCCAGGAAUAAAACCAUAGCAAGCCC